AACGAACGCUGGCGGCAUGCCUAACACAUGCAAGUCGAACGAGACCUUCGGGUCUAGUUGCGCACGGGUGCGUAACGCGUGGGAACCUGCCCUUAGGUUCGGAAUAACUCCCCGAAAGGGGUGCUAAUACCGGAUAAUGUCUUCGGACCAAAGAUUUAUCGCCUUUGGAUGGGCCCGCGUUGGAUUAGCUAGUUGGUAGGGUAAAAGCCUACCAAGGCGACGAUCCAUAGCCGGUCUGAGAGGAUGAUCAGCCACACUGGGACUGAGACACGGCCCAGACUCCUACGGGAGGCAGCAGUGGGGAAUACUGGACAAUGGGCGAAAGCCUGAUCCAGCAAUGCCGCGUGAGUGAUGAAGGCCUUAGGGUUGUAAAGCUCUUUUACCCGGGAUGAUAAUGGCAGUACCGGGAGAAUAAGCUCCGGCUAACUCCGUG
rnacentral:rRNA from 1 species